rnacentral:rRNA from 1 species
AUACGUAGGUGGCAAGCGUUGUCCGGAAUUAUUGGGCGUAAAGCGCAUGUAGGCGGUUUGGUAAGUCGGUCGUGAAAAUGCGGUGCUUAACGCCGUAUGGCGAUUGAAACUGCUGAACUUGAGUGCAGGAGAGGAAAGGGGAACUCCCAGUGUAGCGGUGAAAUGCGUAGAUAUUGGGAAGAACACCGGUGGCGAAGGCGCCUUUCUGGACUGUGUCUGACGCUCAGAGGCGAAAGCCAGGGUAGCGAACGGGAUUAGAUACCCCGGUAGUCCUGGCCGUAAACGAUGGGUACUAGGUGUGGGAGGUAUCGACUCCUUCCGUGCCGGAGUUAACGCAAUAAGUACCCCGCCUGGGGAGUACGGCCGCAAGGCUUAAACUCAAAUGAAUUGACGGGG